UACGUAGGGUGCAAGCGUUGCCCGGAUUUACUGGGCGUAAAGAGCGCGCAGGCGGUCAGAUAAGUCGAAUGUGAAAGCCCCCGGCUCAACUGGGGAGGGUCAUUCGAUACUGUUCGACUCGAAGGCAGGAGAGGGAAGUGGAAUUCCCGGUGUAGUGGUGAAAUGCGUAGAUAUCGGGAGGAACACCAGUGGCGAAGGCGACUUCCUGGCCUGUUCUUGACGCUGAGGCGCGAAAGCUAGGGGAGCAAACGGGG
rnacentral:rRNA from 1 species